CGUGUAGGCGGCUUGGUAAGUCGGAUGUGAAAGCCCUGGGCUUAACCCAGGAAGUGCAUUUGAAACUGCCAGGCUUGAGUAGGGAAGAGGAAGGUGGAAUUCCUGGUGUAGAGGUGAAAUUCGUAGAUAUCAGGAGGAACACCGGUGGCGAAGGCGACCUUCUGGUCCUAUACUGACGCUGAGACGCGAAAGCGUGGGUAGCAAACA
rnacentral:rRNA from 1 species